rnacentral:ncRNA from 1 species
ACAAAGUUUUGGUCCUAAACUUGCCAUUGUUUUUAAUCAAAAUUACACAUGCAAGUCUCCGCACACCAGUGAGAAUGCCCACUAAUCCCCAAACAGCCUAGAGGAGCUGGCAUCAGGAUCGGGCCCCUACCCGCCCAAGACGCCUUGCUACGCCACAUCCCCACGGACCCCAGCAGUGACUAACAUUAAUACAUGAGUGAAAACUCGACUUAGUUAUGAUUUAUUUAAGCCGGUAAAUUUCGUGCCAGCCACCGCGGUUAUACGAAAGGCUUUAAACAAUGACCAACGGCGUAAAGCGUGAUUAGAGUAAAGGUUAAAAAAUUAAAGAACAACCACUGCCCAACUGUAAAACGCUACCGCAGACAGGAACACCAACAAAAUGUCUUUAAACAACGAAACCUCUUGACCUCACGAGGGCCAAGAAACAAACUGGGAUUAGAUACCCCACUAUAGCUUGGCUAUAAACAUAGGUAGAACCAACACAAAUCUACCCGCCAGAGAACUACAAGCGAAAAGCUGCAAACUCCAAGGACUUGGCGGUGCUCCACACCAACCUAGAGGAGCCUGUCCUGUAAUCGAUAUUCCACGCUAAACCUUACCACUUCUAGCCAAUCAGCCUAUAUACCGCCGUCGCCAGCCUACCCUAUGAAGGCAGAACAGUAAGCAAAAUAGUUAACAACUAAUACGUCAGGUCAAGGUGUAGCACAUGAUGUGGUAGAGAUGGGCUACAUUUUCUGACACAGAAAACACGGAAGCCAUAGUGAAACCUAUGCCCAAAGGCGGAUUUAGCAGUAAGGCGUGCAAGAAAGAACACCUUAAACCUGCUCUGGAGCGCGCACACACCGC